AGAGCGAACGCUGGCGGCAGGCUUAACACAUGCAAGUCGAACGCCAUCUUCGGAUGGAGUGGCAGACGGGUGAGUAACGCGUGGGAACGUACCCUUUGGUUCGGAAUAUUCUCGGGAAACUGGGAGCAAUACCGGAUAAGCCCUACGGGGGAAAGAUUUAUCGCCAAAGGAGCGGCCCGCGUCAGAUUAGGUAGUUGGUGGGGUAAAGGCCUACCAAGCCUACGAUCUGUAGCUGGUCUGAGAGGAUGAUCAGCCACACUGGGACUGAGACACGGCCCAGACUCCUACGGGAGGCAGCAGUGGGGAAUCUUGGACAAUGGGCGCAAGCCUGAUCCAGCCAUGCCGCGUGGAUGAUGAAGGCCUUAGGGUUGUAAAAUCCUUUCAACGGGGACGAUAAUGACGGUACCCGUAGAAGAAGCCCCGGCUAACUUCGUG
rnacentral:rRNA from 1 species